UGUUCUGCGGAUUAGUUGGUUAAAGCGCUGGUCUAUCGAAUACAGAAACGUGGGUUGGAAUCCCACCAGAACGC
rfam:Aedes albopictus isolate Foshan contig71790, whole genome shotgun sequence.